rnacentral:rRNA from 1 species
UCGGGAAUUUUGGGCAAUGGGCGAAAGCCUGGCCCAGCAACGCCGCGUGAAGGAUGAAGUAUUUCGGUAUGUAAACUUCGAAAGAAUAGGAAGAAUAAAUGACGGUACUAUUUAUAAGGUCCGGCUAACUACGUGCCAGCAGCCGCGGUAAUACGUAGGGACCAAGCGUUGUUCGGAUUUACUGGGCGUAAAGGGCGCGUAGGCGGCAAUUCAAGUCAUCUGUGAAAUCUCCGGGCUUAACUCGGAACGGUCAGAUGAUACUGCUUUGCUAGAGUGCAGAAGGGGCAAUCGGAAUUCUUGGUGUAGCGGUGAAAUGCGUAGAUAUCAAGAGGAACACCUGAGGUGAAGACGGGUUGCUGGGCUGGACACUGACGCUGAGGCGCGAAAGCCAGGGGGAGCAAA